GUGUCAGCCGCCGCGGUAAUACGUAGGAUCCGAGCGUUGUCCGGAAUUACUGGGUGUAAAGGGCGUGUAGGUGGGUCUUUAAGUCGGUGGUGAAAUCUUGCAGCUUAACUGCAAAACUGCCGUCGAUACUGGAGAUCUUGAGUACGGCAGAGGGAGAUGGAAUUCAUGGUGUAGCGGUGAAAUGUGUAGAUAUCAUGAAGAACACCGGUAGCGAAGGCGGUCUCCUGGUCCGUGACUGACACUGAGGCGCGAAAGCGUGGGGAGCAAACAGGAUUAGAUACCCUCGUAGUCC
rnacentral:rRNA from 1 species